GUGGGCAUCUUACCGGACAGUGCUGGAUUCCUCAGCUCAACUCUAACACUGUCUGGUAACGAUGUUCAA
rnacentral:pre_miRNA from 1 species